rnacentral:rRNA from 1 species
GAACGCUGGCGGCGUGCUUAACACAUGCAAGUCGAACGGACCUUCGGGUUAGUGGCGAACGGGUGAGUAACACGUGGGUGAUCUGCCCUGCACUUUGGGAUAAGCCUGGGAAACUGGGUCUAAUACCGGAUAGGACUACGCACUGCAUGGUGUGUGGUGGAAAGCUUUUGCGGUGUGGGAUGGGCCCGCGGCCUAUCAGCUUGUUGGUGGGGUGAUGGCCUACCAAGGCGACGACGGGUAGCCGGCCUGAGAGGGUGACCGGCCACACUGGGACUGAGAUACGGCCCAGACUCCUACGGGAGGCAGCAGUGGGGAAUAUUGCACAAUGGGCGCAAGCCUGAUGCAGCGACGCCGCGUGAGGGAUGACGGCCUUCGGGUUGUAAACCUCUUUCGCCAGGGACGAAGCGCAAGUGACGGUACCUGGAGAAGAAGGACCGGCCAACUAC